UUAAAACCCAAAGGACUUGACGGUACCCCAUAUCCCCCUAGAGGAGCCUGUCCUAUAAUCGAUAACCCCCGUUUUACCUCACCAUUUUUUGUUAAUCAGCCUGUAUACCUCCGUCGUCAGCUUACCACGUGAGCGUGUGAGCUAAAUGUUUUUUCAACCACACGUCAGGUCAAGGUGCAGCAAAUAAAAUGGAAAGAGAUGGGCUACACUCUCUAUUCUAGAAUAAACAAAAGACUAAAUGAAACCCGGUCAGAAGGCGGAUUUAGCAGUAAAAUGAAACUAGAGCGUUCAUUUAAACAUGGCACUGGGGUGUGUACACACCGCCCGUCACCCUCCUCAAUGCUUCAAAACAGUAUUUCACACUUUUUAGCUCCACAGAAGAGGCAAGUCGUAACAUGGUAAGUAUACCGGAAGGUAUGCUUGGAAU
rnacentral:rRNA from 1 species